rnacentral:rRNA from 1 species
CAUGCAAGUCGAUCGGUAGCACAGAGAGCUUGCUCUCGGGUGACGAGCGGCGGACGGGUGAGUAAUGUCUGGGAAACUGCCUGAUGGAGGGGGAUAACUACUGGAAACGGUAGCUAAUACCGCAUAACGUCGCAAGACCAAAGUGGGGGACCUUCGGGCCUCAUGCCAUCAGAUGUGCCCAGAUGGGAUUAGCUAGUAGGUGGGGUAACGGCUCACCUAGGCGACGAUCCCUAGCUGGUCUGAGAGGAUGACCAG